GAUCCUGGCUCAGGAUGAACGCUGGCGGUCUGCUUAACACAUGCAAGUCGAACGCAACCUUCGGGUUGAGUGGCGGACGGGUGAGUAACGCGUGAGAAUCUGCCUUGGGGUCGGGGACAACCACUGGAAACGGUGGCUAAUACCGGAUAAGCCUUUGGGUAAAAAAUUUAUUGCCCCAAGAGGAGCUCGCGUCUGAUUAGCUAGUUGGUGAGGUAAAAGCUCACCAAGGCAGCGAUCAGUAGCUGGUCUGAGAGGACGAUCAGCCACACUGGGACUGAGACACGGCCCAGACUCCUACGGGAGGCAGCAGUGGGGAAUUUUCCGCAAUGGGCGAAAGCCUGACGGAGCAAGACCGCGUGAGGGAGGAAGGCUCUUGGGUUGUAAACCUCUUUUCUCAGGGAAGAAGCUCUGACGGUACCUGAGGAAUCAGCCUCGGCUAACUCCGUGCCAGCAGCCGCGGUAAUACGGAGGAGGCAAGCGUUAUCCGGAAUUAUUGGGCGUAAAGCGUCCGCAGGUGGCGAUUCAAGUCUGCUGUCAAAGCACGGGGCUUAACUCCGUUAAGGCAGUGGAAACUGAAUAGCUAGAGUGCCGUAGGGGUAGAGGGAAUUCCCGGUGUAGCGGUGAAAUGCGUAGAGAUCGGGAAGAACAUCGGUGGCGAAAGCGCUCUACUGGACGGCAACUGACACUCAGGGACGAAAGCUAGGGGAGCGAAUGGGAUUAGAUACCCCAGUAGUCCUAGCUGUAAACGAUGGAUACUAGGUGUAGCUUGUAUCGACCCGAGCUGUGCCGAAGCUAACGCGUUAAGUAUCCCGCCUGGGGAGUACGCACGCAAGUGUGAAACUCAAAGGAAUUGACGGGGGCCCGCACAAGCGGUGGAGUAUGUGGUUUAAUUCGAUGCAACGCGAAAGAACCUUACCAGGGCUUGACAUGUCCGGAAUCNCGGUGAGAGCUGGGAGUGCCUUCG
rnacentral:rRNA from 1 species